AUCCUAAUGAGAUCCUGGGAAGGAAUUCUUGGGUUUCCCAAGGAAGGGCAGUUAAGAUUUACUGGACACUCUUUGGGUGGAUGCUCAAAGGAUGGAUGGUUGUCAGUUUUCCUCUGAUAUUCCUUGAGGAUUUUGGAGAUACCUGGUUGGGAAUAAUAUCGUGUGUUUGAGAAAGACUAAGAAGGAUUCAAAGACAAUUGUCACAUAGAGGAUAGAUGGACUCCGUCAGAACAUUGCUACAAUUAUAUAGCAACCUUUGGAAAAUUUAAUGAGCUAAAUAUCUCAAAUUUAUUUAAGGGGUCUUUUAGACAUGAUUUUUAUAUAUUUUUCCAACAACUCUGGUCAUUUUGCCUACCCCUAACAUUUUAGUAGUUGAAGUAAAAUACAAAUUUAAUCCCCACCUCCCACAUUUAUAAAAAUGUGAACGGAAGCUGGGAAGUUAAUCCGAGGGCAUAUAGUACCCCUGGAGCACUCCCAAAAGAGGAGCAUUUCUCAUUUAUAACUCUUCAGCUCACUUUACUUCCACCAGAAUGAUAUCUAGAUUUCUUGAUGAUGUUCUAGACCCAAAUGAGUUUUGUUUAAAUAUGUUUACCAAGGUUGAAAGAUUUGCUACAUUUGUAAAAAUUGUGACAAAUAUCCAUCAGUUCAUAGGCUUUUAAAAAUUCCAUACAGCAACUGAUGUGAAAUAUGAUAGUGGGUUUGUUUGUUAUUGUAAUUAACUGGACUAUUGAGAAUUUUCGGGAUAGAUACCUACAUAUUUGUACUACUGUUCUUUAUUUAAAAAAAAAAACUGUUACUUUGUAAAAUCAUUUGCUUGUACUCACAGUGGAUCAUGGCCAGACAUGAAAAGGAAAUGGAUCUCAUUUUUGGUGAGAAAGCCUUGUAUUCUAUAUUUUCUUAGCUGACACAGUGUGCUCAAUCAAUUAUAAUCAAUGAUUAUAAGUUAUAUUUUUAUUUUUAAAACUCUUUUAUUAUAUUUUCUUGCAUGUGCAAAAUACUAUUUUUUCUCUCCUUUGUAUAUUUGAAGCACAUGUCACCAGUAUUAAGAUUUUCUUUAACUUUUUUAAUUUAGCAGUAAUAUAAGUCUAAAAUACAUUUGCUAUAAAGUCAAUGCAUGCCCCAAAAGCUUGAGACUAUAAAAAUGAUGCCACUAAUUAUUUUUUUUAAAAAUUAUGGGACUUUGUAUAAUGAGUCUGUCUGAUUCCAGGACAAGAUAUAGAAAAGAGCCAUUGCACAUGGCUAAAGAAUCCAAUACAAAUGACUUGAACCUUGUGUGAAGACUCAAGGUUGUGAUGCUUAACAUACGUUAAGACAUAGGCCUUCCUUGUAUCCACAUUCUGUGAAAAUUCUUACAGAUGAGUAUCUCUAACUUGGCUCCUAUAAUAUAGUCCCUUUUUCUGUCUUUCAUAGUGUGGCAAACUUUCUGUAGUCCUGGCUACUGAUUGAGUAAAUGCUUACUUGCUUAUAUCAUUUUAAUUGGGCCCUGAUUCAAAGAUGUGUUAUAGAUCUAUUUUUCCUUUACAUGGAAUUUUUACACAUCUUUGAUAGUCUAUAUUUUCAUCCAGAAAUUCUUUUUUUUUUAUUUUUCUGAUGUCUUUUUAAUUUCUCUUGCCAAUUGAUUCAUAUACCUCAUAACUCAGCCAUGCAUCCCUAAAUGAUCCCUGUGUUUUUUCAAUCACCCUCUUCAAGGGGGGAAUGUAAAAAUAUUAUUUUUAAAUUGCGAAGUUUAAAUUCCUUUUGAGAAGAAUUUUAGGUUAAGAAACAUGAUACCUCUCCAAAUCUAUUUGGAGAAGACACCAUAAAGAUGCCUCCAGACCACAAGCUGCAUGAGAAGAUCAAGAAUGAACUUUGGGUGUGGUUGAUUGAACAUUUAUUUGUAUGUAUACUUUCAUGCCAAAGGGGAUUUCCCUCUAACUAGUUUUUUGUCAAUGCAUCUAGCAAUUAUUGGUUUUGCUCUUUUCUCCUCUUAUCCUCAAAUUAUUGUAACCUUUAUUAUCUUGAUUAUGUUUUCAUGAUCUUUUUUGGGGAAACUUUUCCCAAUAAAAAUCAAAGGCGCGAAUAUAAAAAUGGAGAUUUGAACCCCAAACUUCAAUCCCCAGAAGUCCUUGGCACUUCCCAGAAUGCCCUAUAAUCUCACCUGAGAUCCCCACCUGGGUCGAGAACAAAAUUAUUUAAAUUGACUGAACCACCUACUUGGUCUCUCUGCUUCCGCUUUUAAGCACACAUGUCUCUCAAGAUGUAGUAAGUGAAACUGAACAAGCUUAUCAGCCCUAGAAACGUGGCUUAUUGAUUUGUAUCUUUGAUUUCUAAUAAUCUUUAAUAAACCUCUUAAAAUAUAA